CCUACGGGAGGCAGCAGUGGGGGAUAUUGGACAAUGGGGGAAACCCUGAUCCAGCGAUGCCGCGUGAGGGAAGAAGGUUUUCGGAUUGUAAACCUCUGUGGAGGGGGACGAUAAUGACGGUACCCCUUUAGGAAGCCACGGCUAACUACGUGCCAGCAGCCGCGGUAAUACGUAGGUGGCGAGCGUUGUCCGGAAUUACUGGGUGUAAAGGGAGUGUAGGCGGGAAAGCAAGUCAGAAGUGAAAACUAUGGGCUUAACCCAUAGCCUGCUUUUGAAACUGUUUUUCUUGAGUGAAGUAGAGGCAAGCGGAAUUCCUAGUGUAGCGGUGAAAUGCGUAGAUAUUAGGAGGAACACCAGUGGCGAAGGCGGCUUGCUGGGCUUUUACUGACGCUGAGGCUCGAAAGCGUGGGGAGCAAACAGGAUUAGAUACCCCAGUAGUC
rnacentral:rRNA from 1 species